CUACCGGGGUAUCUAAUCCUGUUUGAUCCCCGCACUUUCGUGCCUCAGCGUCAGUUAUACUUUAGUAAGCUGCCUUCGCAAUUGGUGUUCUUGACAAUAUCUAUGCAUUUCACCGCUACACUGUCAAUUCCGCCUACCUCAACUAUACUCAAGCCUAGCAGUAUCAAUGGCAGUUCGAUCGUUAAGCGAUCGGCUUUCACCACUGACUUAUUAAGCCGCCUACGCACCCUUUAAACCCAAUAAAUCCGGACAACGCUUGCCACCUACGUAUUACCGCGGCUGCUGGCAC
rnacentral:rRNA from 1 species